rnacentral:miRNA from 1 species
CUGACGAAGUGCGAGGGAAAGC